rnacentral:rRNA from 1 species
CGGGUUGGACCCGAAGAGGGUGGAGCGAUGUCCUCCGUCCCCGAGCACCGUCCGUAGACCGGCGGUACCGGUAAGGGACCGGGGCACGGCCGGUAGACGGCCGAGGGGACCUCGUAUUUCCGGCUGGGGUGCUGGGGGGUCCGCUUGGGAUCGGGGGUGAACGGGAGGGGAGCGCGGCGAAGCGGGAGAGGGAGAGACAGAACAAGCGGACUCGCGCCGGCGGCUGCACGGCGGCAGCUAGGGCGCCGGUGGUUGGUGGCAAGCGGCGUAGCUAAUCAGGUCCUCCUAGCAGUGGCAGCUGAUGCAGACAGGUCUCACAGUUAAGCUCGCCCCGGCGGGACAUGCGAGCGGUAGCUGGAGCAAAGGUGACGUAUGUAGGAGCGGCAGGCGCCAGCUAACGGUGGCGAGGACAGGCAGGGGGCUGGAGAGGCUCGUGCAGUAGAUGGGGCACGACUCCUCAAAGCACUCUCCUUUCCUACGUACUCCCGGUACUGUAUUGCUCGAUUCUCGAAACCCCUAGCUUCAUGAAGAUCUAGACUCCCCUCCUACCUCGACACACUCUACCGCACAGCCCCAUAAUGAGCACUUCCUACGAUGAUUGAUGACUCAUGACUGGUUCGUUAUUUGACCUUCUAAGGUAGUCCCUUUUUCUUGCUUCAGCAACAGGCUCCUUCUUCUGGGUUCUGGGUCCCACGAAACACUAAGCACAACUCUGCACCGUAAGGAACCUGUCACAUUUUUUCUGGUCCAGAGAAUCUUAAAAAAAAGGGCCAAACACCUCUACUACCGUGGUCAUAAAUUAUCC